AGUGAACGCUGGCGGUAGGCCUAACACAUGCAAGUCGAACGGCAGCACAGUAAGAGCUUGCGCUUACAGGGGGCGAGGGGCGGGCGGGGGCGGGAUACAUCCGAAUCUGCUUUUUCGAGGGGGAUAACGCAGGGGCACAUACCGUAAUAGCGCAUACGACGUACGGGUGGGAGCUGCGGAUCUUACGACCUUGCGCGAUUGUAUGAGCCGAUGUCGGAUUAGCUAGUUGGCGGGGUAAAGGCCCACCAAGGCGACGAUCCGUAGCUGGUCUGAGAGGAUGAUCAGCCACACUGGAACUGAGACACGGUCCAGACUCCUACGGGAGGCAGCAGUGGGGAAUAUUGGACAAUGGGCGAAAGCCUGAUCCAGCCAUACCGCGUGGGUGAAGAAGGUCUUCGGGUUGUAAAGCCCUUUUGUUGGGAAAGAAAAGCAGCAGGUUAAUACCCCGCUGUUCUGACGUUACCCAAAGAAUAAGCACCGGCUAACUUCGUG
rnacentral:rRNA from 1 species